rnacentral:rRNA from 1 species
AGUGAACGCUGGCGGUAGGCCUAACACAUGCAAGUCGAACGGCAGCACAGUAAGAGCUUGCUCUUACGGGUGGCGAGUGGCGGACGGGUGAGGAAUACAUCGGAAUCUACUUUUUCGUGGGGGAUAACGUAGGGAAACUUACGCUAAUACCGCAUACGACUUACGGGUGAAAGCAGGGGAUCUUCGGACCUUGCGCGAUUGAAUGAGCCGUUGUCGGAUUAGGUAGUUGGCGGGGUAAAGGCCCACAAAGGCGACGAGCCAUAGCUGGUCUGAGAGGGUGGUGGGGAAGAGUGGGAAUGAGACACGGCCGAAACGCAUGCGGGAGGCAGCAGUAGGGCAGGUUCGGCAAUGGACGGAAGGUUGACCGCGCAAAGAUGGGAGAGUGAAGAAGGGUUUCGGAUCGCAAAACUCUGUUGGUAGAGAAGAACGUUGGCGAGAGUGGAAAGCUCAUCAAGUGACGGUAACUACAAAGAAAGGGACGGCUAACUACGUG